CUUUAACCCAGCACCCUGGGCUAAGCCUCGGGUGGAUUUCUAGCAGACACUGACAUUUUCCACUGCUUUCCCAGGCAACUCCUCACAUAAGAGAUUUGGAUUUGUACAGAGAAGAAGAAAAACUAAAAGGAACUGGUAACAGACCGGGAAGGAUCUUUUAUUCUGUCUAGAAAAUCUACAUUCGAGACUUAAGAAGGGAAAGCAGCAGACACACUGCUUGGGCUUGUGUGCCAUCUGGCUUGACCCUGAUCCCUGACAACGGGAUGGCCACUGAGUGUGAAAAGUCAGACCGCUGUGAUCUACUUCAGCUUAAAAACUGCGCCUGAUUGAAGACAGCACAAGGAACAGUACAGGAGAGAGACCAAGCACACACGUGAACGUCACAUUCAUUUGUUCUGCAGUUCCAGAAACACGCUGAGAAGAAUGAAUCCCAGCAGUCCACGGUGUGAAGAAAAGAAAUGUGGAUAGUUGCUUGCGUGAGCUGGUGUCAUUCAGGAUGAACCAUAUGAGCAAGACAGCCCUUUGCGCACUAGAGCGUGAGAACAUACUACCAGUAAAAGAAAUCACACCCUGCUCCCCCAUGAAUACCUCUCUGGUUUCUAGCUUCAGUUCCCAAUGAAGAGGGGCACCGAGAGAACGGCCUGGUGGGAGCGAGCCUGUUAGCUGUGCCCAAGUCACCGCAGCAUCAGAAACCAUUCACAGACACUCAGCCACUCCACUGGAAAGAUACAGUGAAUUCAAGUAGCCUUGAGCUUUGCCCUAGUUGCGAUUGAAGCCAGUUCACUUUCAGGUGCCGCUGGACAAAACAGAACCGCGCUUCUCGUCCUCUGUCUCCGCUACAGUAAGAAAUAGAGGAAUGUCUAUGUCCUGUUAUCACCAGGAGCAACAGGUUAAUGGCCUGCAGACGCUUGGUUGCACUGAGUAAACCUACUAACACACAGAUAAGUCAACACACCCAUCUUCAAGCUGGGGAAGCUCUACUGCAUUCAAGAGAUGCUGCCAUGCAGAAAUUCAGCUGCAAAAGAAACGGGAAAAAAUACUCAGUGAUGUCAUUUGAACAUGCAAUGCUAAAUGGCCAAGCACAGAAGGAGUCUAUUUGCUCCUCUUUCUCCUCCCUCAAGAUUAUUAAGCUCGUGGCAUCAACAGGGGAUGAAGUCCCAAGCACAGAAAUGCAGGAGCAUCCUUUCUUUGUGCGCAGGAGCACUACCACAAAGCAGCCAUCACCACAUAAGAGCCACCACAGCACAUAGCAGAUCCAGCGCUGCACCUCCCAGCCCAGGAUCAGGACCUUCAGACAACAGCUGCACCAGGACCCCAAACUCCAGCACUUCAUCAGUUCCAUUCCUCCAAGAGAGAACCUGCCACACACCUUCAGACCUGUAAAGAAAGCACAUCACCCUCAAACAAGGGGAUUUUGCCCAGUCCCAGCCAUAAACACCAUCUCAGGGUUGAAGGAUGCAGCUCACCUCACUCCAGCCCUGAACCUGCAGGAAGACCUGUGAACCACACAGAAGGCAGCCCUCUGCUAGCAGGGGACCCACUGGUGGGUCCCCAUCUCUCACCUCCUUCAUCCCAGCACUGGAAAAAAGCAGCUCACGUAUUCCAGCCAAUCCUCCCUGCAGCCUUCACCCUGCAACAAGAACACAGAGACAUACAAGAUGGAAACACCACACAUCACCCACAAAACCAUCCUGAGGCAACUGGAACAGGCCCCAGAAAAGGGGACUCCGCAACCUCUCCAGGCAGCCUAUUCCAUCCCUCUCACAGUGAAAUCAUUCUCCUGUUUGCAUACAACUUUCUAGUGUUACAGUCCACAAACACUGCCCCCAUACUACCACACACCACCUGUCCCCAUCAAUUGGGCUCCUGCACAUCAGAUAUUCACUAACAGUCACAGUAUUCCCAUCCUCUGCCCUUCUCUCAUCCCACUGGAGAAUCCAGACAACAUACAAAACCCCCAUUAGGCCCAGCACCACUUCCCAUCAGUGAAUUCACCUUGACCACUCCUUAGACAUUUCUUCUCUUCCAGUUGCUUGGAGAUGACAUCCAGAAGCAGUUGUUACAUUGCCAUUCCAGGAAGGGAGGUGAGGCUAACCAACCUACAGUUGCACAGCUGUAUGACAAACAGGUAUACAGGUAUUGGACCACAGAGAAUAACACAUUACAAAGGAGAAAUGAAAUAAAGAUCUUACCCAUGUCCUGGGCUUACAGAAGGGCUCCAAGAGGAUCUCCAGCCAGAGAUCCUUCCUCCUUGGGAGUCAGCCCUUAAAUGGCAUCUAGGAGGGAUGGAGCCAGGCUCCACCUCUUCCCCUCACUCAGGUGAAAUUGCAUUCACCUGUGCCCCUGCAGCUGACUCGGCACUCUCCUCAGGUGGAGGAAUCAAAGGUUCAGGCUGUGAUUCAACAGUUCCCAUACACACAGGCCAUCCUCCUCACCCUUUCCGAAGGCUGAGGUGACAUCAGCUAUCCUCCAGUCUUUGGGCACCUUUCCUAUAGGAAAGAACAGAGGAAACGUGACAGAGAGCUAUGUGGCAGUCACUUCUGCCAGCUCUCUCAGCACACACAGGCAUAUCCCUUUCCAGCUCAGGCAUUUGCGCUGGCACCCACUUUGCCUAAAUGACCUUUGACCAGCUCCUCCACAAUCAAGAGGAAGUCAUCCUUCCUCUAAAACUAUUUCCUCCAGAAUCCAGGGAUCCCAAGGAGCAGACUCAGCAGCGACCACUGAAACCAAAAAUACAUUCAGCACAUACUCUAUUACCAGGGCCUCCACCUUGUAAAGCAGAGGCCCGCUCUAGUCUCCUUUCUCCCAUUGACCAACUUCUAUUAGCCUUGACCUCCCUUCCCAAAGGUGAUACUGAGAGGGUCAUCGUCUUCCUUAGCCCAAGUCUUCCUUUUCCCCUUCAAGUUCAUCUUGAGUUCCUCAUUCAACCCUGCAGGUCUCCUGCCAGUAGAGAUACCACCCACAGUGAUGUCACCCACAUUUACCUGCCUCUUGAGCCUCACAUGCAAGCGCUCCGCUAGUUCUUCAUUCACCCCGAGGCAGAGCUCGAUACAUUUCCAUUCUCUCACUGGAAGAGAGACUCCACCACCUGGCCGGUCUGUCUUUCCUAAAAGGAACAAAGCCAUCCACAACAGCAUUCCGGUCAUGCAAGCUGCCCCACCAGGUCUCCACGGUAGGCACAAAACCGUGCUCCUGAAGUCCCACGUGAAGGAAGGGGGAGAAAAAAAGAAAACAAAUGUUCCCAUCCUGCUCGCUCCCACCGCUGGAAACGGGGGGGCUGGAGCACCAGUAGAACCCUCCUCGGGGGCUGAGGCCGCCCCGGGGCCGCGCUCGGUCUCGAGCCGUCGGGCAGCGGCCUCGUGCCGGCUCUUCUCUAAAAGGCCACGCGGGAGCCCAGAAGCGGCGCCGUGCCGAUCCCGAAGGUGCAGAGGUAGCCGAGCAACAGCCCUACAUAAACCCCGAGAAGAGAGAUCUUACCAGCUGACUCCCCAGCACUCACCGCUUCCACGAGCUCACCGGUUUGGAGCGAGGAGAGGCUCUGCCGGAACACUCGCUCAGCCUGCAAUAGGAGAAAACUUGGGUUUCAGCAGCACUUCGCGUUGCUUUUUACUACUCCCAGCAGCACCGAGGCUGCAGGAGUACAGCCCCAUCCCACCUGCUCCUACCGAUGAGAGCCUGAAGAACCGAAGCACCCGCUACAAACAACCCUAGGAAGAGGGAGGCUCAGAGCACCCCGGGGCUGCGGUAGGACUUAAGGACCUGAGCGGCAGCUCCCUCCGAAAACGCGAUAGGAGCCGGGCGGCGACGCUGUAUCGACAGCAAACAGCCGGGGAAGCCCGGCGGCAGCCCUACGCCGGCCCCGAGAAGAGCGGGGUCCGGGAGCCCGGCAGCCUCCCGCUCCAGCCGAAGAGAUCCUCGCGGCUCCCGAGCCCUCGCCGCCUGCACGGUCCCGCUACUACCAAAACGGCUCACACCGGUUUGGGCGGAUCCUUACCGCGAGAGGUCUCACAGCAGCCUGAAACAAAACGACACAACGAGAACAUUAAAGAGCCCCCCCCCCCAGAGCUCCAUUUUAAAAGCAGCCCCUGGUACCGCUUCCCAGCUCCAGCAGCGCUAAGAGCGGUCAAAGGAACCGGAGCCCCCUCCGUCUCUCGUGGAGAACCGCAAGAACGCCCCCGUGGCUGCCAGCAGCCUCCGGAGGAGCUUAAGAGGCUUUGGGGCGGGCCCCGCCCGGGGCUCCCGACGAGGCGCAGCUGUGCCCGGCCGGCCGCGGCACCUGGGAGUCGUUGCCUCGUUAGCGCAGCCGGCCUCGUUAGGGCCGUCCCGGGGCCCUGACAGAUAGGCACGUGGCCUCUAGAUCUGAAUUAGGGACUUAAGUGACACUUCAAAUUACAGGUUGUGACGCGCUUCUCCUUCUCACCUCGUGGUGGGAUUCAUUAAUAAGUUAGAUAAUUAAUAUCUUAACACGUUAGAGUGUCCCUGCAAAGCAAGCACGCUAAAGGUCUUUUUUCUGCUCUCUGAAAACGGAGGUGGAGAUUUCAGUAAGGGCUGUUCACAGCAGUAAUAGGGAGAUUGAUCUGGGUGCUUUUUGCGUUAUCUGUGUGCGUUUUACUUUUCCAGCAGCAGGGAGAUGAAGGUGGGGUUUCACUGCAGAAUGUUUUUCAGCCUGUUUUCAGUACAUUCGUUUCUCUCUAACUAUUUGAUUUUCAUAAUCACCUGAGAACUAGGCUGUAGCCUGUCCUUUCCCAGGGGGUCACCUGGCCAAGGCUGAAGGUCAGUCCGUGAUCAUAGCACGACGAGGUCUUUCAGCAGAUGAUGAAAACAUUCCACUCUUAUUCGUUCCCAUUUUAAUCUGGAGCAAUUCGUCUGAGUUCGAGAGAAGUUCUGCAGUGUGGCAGAGCAAAGAGUACUUUCUCCGUACAGAGAUUUUCUUGACACGUUACCUGCCGGGGUUUGUCACGGCUCGACCUGAGAUCCCACUCAUUUCCACUAGGCAGACUGAGGAAUGAGACUGUUACCUUUGCAGGCUUGCUGAUGCUUUGCUCUCCUCCCACGAGUGGGGGAAUCACGGCGUAGCUGUAACCGUGUGAAGCAUUUCAUGCUAACGGCUACGUGGCACACUUCUGUGCAUUUUCAGGAGCUGAGCAGCAGUGCAGAGCUGCUAACGUUCACUGAGGGAUUGUAAAAAGUGUUUGACAGUGCUUUUUUAGCCACAGCAGGGACUGAACGAGCUGCAUGGCUUCCCUGUCGUUUGCAAGGUGGAGCCCUGGAGAAGCGCUGCUGCAGGACUAGAUGUGAUUGCUGUACUGCUUGUGGCGUCUGGGAGGGUGUGCUUCUGAGACCCUGUCAGUUAAGGACCUCCAAGCCUCUCCACGGCAAUCCGCACUCCCUAAUAGGAGCUGCUGCACAUCUUGGCAUGGAUGACAACAAAGUUCUCCCUCGCCUGAAAUGGUGGCAAAAGUUGGUCGCUGGGGAAGAGCAGUCUGUCUGCCGCACCCAGGGACAGAUGAGAACCUCUUUGAGCCUUACAUGUGCAAAGUUAUGCCAGCUGACUUGGCCGCAUGGAGAUCAGAGGCCAUCACGCUUGCAGCAGUCUCCGAUAGCACUGACACAGAGGACUAUGACUCUGUCUACUUCAGGAGCGAUGCCUCAGACGAGGACUCUGCAGCCACACGUACAGCAUGGUUGCAGAGACUGACCCUGAUCUCCAGCAGCGCGCUGCUGAUGUGUCGGACCUUCCUGAUCUCCCCCAGGUCCAUCUGCUAGAAGGGGAUGCUGUUUAUUUCUCCAAGCGAGACAGAUGGGAGGAGAUGGUCAAUGAGUUUGAGAUGAAAAGAGGAAUAGAGAGGAGUCCAGGUCCUGUCAAGGAGACUGAAUGGUAUGGUGAUACUGGCAUUAGCUGGAACGAAAGAAAACAAACAUGGGAAAAGCAUGAAGCUGGACGUCUGCAAAUCCCAGCGUGACCAGAGCAGCCAGUAGAGGGCACGGGGAUCUCAUAACGCUCGGAGCAGCCUAGCCCCACAAUCCCUCGUGGGAUGGAAAAGUAACGGGGCGUGCUGCCUCCUGCCUCCUCCUGUUUUGCUCAGAAAUCAAUAGUGCAGCAGCAGUUGUUCAUCCCUGAGAAUAACACGGUAUCCGUUAACAAUGGUUAAUAUUGGUAGCAGAUCCUACCGGCCUUUCGGUGAGCUGGUUAAUGAUGAUAUUAUUUCCAAACACUGUUCCAAACUAGUUCUCUGGGAAGGAGAAUGCAUUAGUGGCAGGCAGGAGCCUGCCAACUCCAUGAACUGUCUCUGUGAUCACGCUGCAAGGACUUUGCUUUUUCUAAGCACUAAUAUAAUUAAAAACCAUUUUAACGCGUUUUUGAUGUUAGAGUACAUGGACUUUGGAAUAAAGCUGCGUGGCUUUGUUUACUGAAACACCACUGUGAUAACAAACAGUGUUUGUUUGUUUGUUUGCUUUCCAAAACUUACUGGAUUUGGAUGAAAAUAGGAAAAACAACAACGACAACAACAAAACAAACAAAAAACCCCCACAGAUUACCUUCUGCUGGAGCUACAGUUAUUCCACUUCCUUCCUCUCAGCUCUGUCACCAGGUGAAUUAAAGGCCUCCCUCGCUGCAUAGCAACGUAUUCCGUGUAAGCAAUGCUCAGCAACAACAAAAGCAUCCAUGCGCUAUUACCAGCAUUUCUAUCAAAAAUCCAAAGUACUGCAUCUUAGAGGCCUCUACAAAUAAAAUUAACUCUGUCCCAGCCAAAACCAUGACAUCUGUGACUGCGGAUGAAGUACGCUUCUGGCUGCUUGUGGCACGAUAGAAGGGAAAAAGCUGUUUGACGUAAGAUGGCAGCACUAGAAAAGAUCGAAAAGAUUUGACUGUCUAAACUUUGUCUUAGCAGCAGCAUGUGAGACAGAAGAAUUUCUGGCUGUUAGGUGUUACAGUAUCCGUGCUGGCGUCUAGCUUCAGUGGGCACAAGAUACCAAUAUCCAGGUGCAAUUUCUCUGGCAAGGUGUAUACGGUAUUUACCACCAGCUCUCAAUGAACAUCACACAGAUUUGCCCUAAUUUUAGUACCGCUGCCAAACAGGGUGUGCAUAUGGCAGUGCUUCAGGCUCAGAUACGUCAGAUAUGGCUAUGUGGCCCUUCUCUGUGGAUGUAAUCGCGUUGUGCGUGGCGGGUUGGGUCGUACAACACUGUGCUACCAGUGAGGUAAAUGAGGCGUUCUGGGAGGAAAGAGACUGAGAGCACCUGAGAAAUCUGUAGGUCUGCAGACUGCUGGAAGUAUUUAAUUUCCUUUAAGAGGGGGAAAAUGUAUUGUCCUUGUGUAUUGACACCUAUCGCUGGGGCUUCUUAUUUACAGUUUUGGUUUAUUUGCAAAGUACGUAUGGAGACUUCAGGGAGCUAAAAGGGAAAUCCUCUGGCAGGUUUCCUUCAGCGAUUUUUUUCUGAUGUGCACUAUUGGCUGUGAGCGUACGACUUGGUCUACCUCUCCUAGAGUCGACUUCCAGCAGUGCUGUUCUGCUGCCAGAUGGUCAAAUGAAAUGAGAACAGAAUGGUUAAGCUCUGACUGAUAUGGACACUCAUGCCAAUUUGGUUUUGAACUUUUCCUUUGGAACUACAAUUUGGAAAUAAAUGGAAAGAGGUGAGAGCACACGAAGAAAGGAAUUUGUUUCCUGUGUUCCCCCCUCCCCUUUUUUUUUUUUUUUUAAACUAAAAAUUUGCUUAAUCUGGCACAGCCGUAAACCGUUUAUCAGAUUAUUACCUACGGACGGG
ensembl:lncRNA